AAGCAAGAAGGACAGCGGCUGUAGGAGGCAGUAGAGCCUUUCCCAUUGGAAGUCUAUAGGCUGCUUUGUGAGUAGCUUUGGACAAAGGAAUGGAAUCCAGCAGAUGCCCAUCUAUGUGGUAGUAGCAGAACUACGAUGAAAUGAUGCUGAUCUGAGGAAGAAGAUAAGAUGCAGAACAGCUCCAUCACAUUCAGGUUGUACAACUUACAGCUUCCCUUUUCCAGCACCUGGAAAUAUGGGAUCCUGGCAUUAGCCAUCCUCUUGCUCCUGGGGGCCUUGACCAUCCUGGCUUACCAGAUGUGCCAGCUUCAAAAACACAGCAGGACUG